CUGAUGGCCACUUUGUUCUAAACACACCCGCCUUGCCUUCACUUGACUAGUGCACUUCAUAGACCCGGGCUCAGGGUUAUGUAAUGCCAUUGGGCUCCCUGUGGACAUGGGAGGGCCUGGGGGGGCGAUCAGGUCUCGGAAAAGACACCCCAGUGGGAGACAGUGAAUGAAGGGGCCUCUGUAGGUUCUAGCCGCUGCUGGGGGCCCUUCGAUGUGGCUGAGGGUGCAGAGCCAAGGCAGAGGCUUGGACGGGGUGGGGAGCAGGUCCUCAGCUGAGCACAGGGCAAGGCGGCGGCUUGUAAACUGGCGGCAGCUCCCAGAUGGAUUCUGCUGCUUCCCUUCUGGGACCUGCUCAGGGUCAUCAGCUCUCCAUUCUCACUGGGCCAGGACGGCUUCUCUUGCUCUCCGCUAUGGAGAGGGCCUGCUGGGGGAGGCGGGGGGAGCAGGCCCGGGAGGCCAUGAGGGUUCCUGGGCCCUUGGAGCAGAGCCUUUGAGCAAGCUGACCUUGUGGAGGUGAGACACCCUGGAUUGGAGCAGGGCGGACAUGCCUCCCCUCACUUGUAGAGGGGACUCAACAUCUCUGCGGGGGGCCCAAAUGGACAACCCCCUUUCUAGAAUCUGUCAAGAAUGGUCUGCCUUGGAUAGGAGGGAGAGGUGGAGGAGUGCCUUUGAAAACCAGCCGCACCCCCUCAGCGGGACCGUCCGUCUCUGUGUGUCCUGGUCUGCUACGUCGGACUAGGCUGCGGGCUGAGGGAGGAGGCUGGUCGCUGACCUCCAACAGGCUCUGGGAGGCCGAAGGCCCCCAUUCCCAGGCAGGCCCGUCUUGCUCGCCCUCGCGGCUGGGAAGCAAUGGGCAGGGUGGGCUAGACUCUCCCCAGGACCCUCACAAUGGGCGCUGUGGGCAUGGCUGCCCCUCCAGAGAUCAGAGGCAAAUUGGUGACCGAGUGAAUGUACCAGAGCGGGCAAUGGCAUUACAUGACCGCUAACAGAAACAUGGCAACCAACCAUUUCUUCUCCAAGGAACACAAAUAGAAGAUGUGCAGACCGGCAGGGGCUAGUGGCAGGGGCCGGCUGUGCAUUGGUUUCGAUGCCUCUCCGCUUUGGCCGCCCUGAGGCUGGGGGCCAAACACGAGAGCCGAUGAGGGGACCUGGAGUGAGGCGGUGCUUCGCCACCCCUCGGGAACCGUACUUCAGCGGCUCCGCCUCUGCACAUUGCCCACCAACACACAGGGUAGGAACCACUAGCUCUUCCUGGAGAGAACAGAACACGCAGCCUCCACCACGUCCCCAGAAACAGCCGCAGACUUGAGCUCACUACAUCAAGAACACCACACCGUGCUCCACGGAACAGCUCCAAGCACAGAGACAGAGGCAGACAGAGACAAAGAGAGAAAGAGACGCAACAUGGCAGCAGACACUGCUUUUUAUUAAACAUUAAAAAAAAAAAAGGCAAAAUCCAAGCAAACUUGAACCCGAGAAUGUACACAGAAGUAGGAAACACAGAGAACAGAGCUCUCCCAGCCAGCCAGCGGCGCUCUUUUCGGAGAACGUUUCAUAGACUGAAGUAGAUUCCAUGGGCCUCCAAGACAAUAGGAUCCUCUCUCCAUUCCUCGCCAUUCAUCGGCUGCCAACAUAAUCUGCACCAACUGGAGAUCAGAAACCAAAAAAAAAAAA